rnacentral:rRNA from 1 species
GUUGUUGCCGUUAAAAAGCUCGUAGUCGAACUUCGGGCUCUGCCAGCCGGUCCGCCUUCUUGGUGUGUACUUGUUUGGUGGAGCCUUACCUCCUGGUGAACAGCGAUGUCCUUCACUGGGUGUCGUUGCAAACCAGGACGUUUACUUUGAAAAAAUUAGAGUGUUCAAAGCAGGCCUUUGCCCGAAUACAUUAGCAUGGAAUAAUAGAAUAGGACGCGCGUUCCCAUUUUGUUGGUUUCUGAGAUCGCCGUAAUGAUUAAUAGGGAUAGUUGGGGGCAUUUGUAUUCCGUCGUCAGAGGUGAAAUUCUUGGAUUGCCGGAAGACAAACUACUGCGAAAGCAUUUGCCAAGGAUGUUUUCAUUGAUCAAGAACGAAGGAAGGGGGAUCGAAAACGAUUAGAUACCGUUGUAGUCUCUUCUGUAAACUAUGCCAAUUGGGGAUCGGCACAGGAUUUUUAAUGACUGUGUCGGCACCCGAAGAGAAAUCUUUAAAUGAGGUUCGGGGGGGAGUAUGGUCGCAAGGCUGAAACUUAAAGGAAUUGACGGAAGGGCACCACCAGGUGUGGAGCCUGCGGCUUAAUUUGACUCAACACGGGGAAACUCACCAGGUCCAGACACAAUAAGGAUUGACAGAUUGAUAGCUCUUUCUUGAUCUUGUGGUUGGUGGUGCAUGGCCGUUCUUAGUUGGUGGAGUGAUUUGUCUGGUUAAUUCCGAUAACGAACGAGACCUUAACCUGCUAAAUAGACCAGCCGGCUUUGGCUAGCUGCUGUCUUCUUAGAGGGACUAUCAGCGUUUAGCUGAUGGAAGUUUGAGGCAAUAACAGGUCUGUGAUGCCCU